rnacentral:lncRNA from 1 species
UCCUAUUUCAACAGUUUUCUUGACAUGACAUUCCAAUACUAAGAUUUUGUUGGAUUUUUGUGAUGUAGUAGGUGAAUGCCUAAUAUUUAGGCGAUAAUCUUCCCGAGAGGUAUUUGAAUUGUUCCUUUUUGCGGUCAUUGAUAGUGUACUUUAUUUUCCCUAACUUUUGCCUGAGAUUUUUAUUGAGGAUUCUCUGCGGGCCUUUUGUAUAUUUUUCCUUUUGUUUUUUUAUGUUAUUUUUCACUUUGACCGAUGAACUUUUUUAUUUGAAUUGCUUAGGAUUUUUAUCCCUCGAGUUAGAUUUGGAAAUAAUAGAGUGUAUUUAUUUCUUAAUAAUUGAAUGUCAAGGAAAACAGUUGAGAUACUACCCUGCCCAAGAUUAUUGAUAUUUUGCGGGUUUUUAGAAAAAUCUCCUUUCAUAAAGCCUAGGGCUCAAAUGGGUGACUAGGGAUAUCUUCAUAGUGUUUGGGAUUUUNNNNNNNNNNNNNNNNNNNNNNNNNNNNNNNNNNNNNNNNNNNNNNNNNNNNNNNNNNNNNNNNNNNNNNNNNNNNNNNNNNNNNNNNNNNNNNNNNNNNUGAAUCAAAUAUAUCACAUUAAUGCAUGAAAUUUGGUUUUUGAUUUUUUUUUGUUGGAAUGAGAUUUUUGGAAUGAAGUAUGAGAUGGUAAAUUCGCAUGAUCAAUGCAUUCGUAUGUUCUUCUAAAAAAGAUAUGCCGUCGAGAAUCAACUUUCUUCUUGAAAUGGAGACAUGGGAUCUCGUUGUUUGAUGACGCCAAGCCUUGGAGAGAGCAGUAGGGGUUUCAAAAUAUGAUCUGACUCAUGAGUUCCUCGAGGACUGCCAACUCUGACUUGAUUCUCUUGAUUUGAUUAUGCCAUGAGUCUUUAUUGAGGACGAUUGUUAUAAGGGUGCUUAGAAGCAAUGAGGAUGUGACUUGUUUUGGGUUUGUUGAGGAAAAUGUAUUUUGUUUGUGUUAGGACGGUGUUUUGGGAGUUGUGAGGGUGUAUGGUAUUGAAAGGUAUUGUAUGGAUAUGAAUUUUGAUAUGAGUAUGAAGCUUUGGAGUAUGGAUUUGGUGGUGUAUGCAAUUGUGUAUUGAAAUGCAUGGUAUGUUAUUGCAUGAAAAUGCAAUAGUGAAAUGAUUUUUUUUGCUUCAUUUUAUAGUCAAUGAUGAAGGUGCAUGAAUAACUUUAUUUUUUACUUUUUAGAUAAUGUAUGAUGUAUGAAAUGCAAUAUGUGAUAGUGCAUGAAAUGCAAUGUUUGAGUGAUUUUUUAUGAUGAAUCCAUGCAUGAGUAGAGGAUAUAUUUUUUGUAUGAUUAGAUGAGUGAAUGUUUGAUUUCUUGUAUGAGUGUUGGAAUGUUGACUUUUUUAUGAAUGUUUGAAUUAUGCAUGAUAUUUUUUUGUUUUUUGAUGAAUAUUUGAAUAAUGAAAUUUUAUUUUCUGCUUUUUGAUUUUCUGAAUGUAUGUAUGAAUGUGUGAAUCAAUGAUUUACGAAUUUUAAAUUUUAUGAAUUUAUGUAUCAAUAGAUGAACGAAUGACUGAAUAAUAUUUUGGCUUUUGACUCAUUAUAUGAAUGGACGAAUAUUUGAAUGAUAUAACUUUUAGAAUGAUGUAUAUUUUGAUAAAUGUAUGAAUUAUGAAUGUAGAGAUGAAUGAUUUUUUAUUUUAUUUUAUGAAUGUUUUAAUGAUAUAUAUUUUGAUGAAUGUAUGAGUGCAUGACAUGCAUGAACUUGAUAUAGUGGUGUUAACACAUUUUGAAUGCCCCUUGGGUAUGAUAGACCUUAUUUAGGGAAAAUAUAGCCUUAGUUACAAUAUAAUAAAAUGUCAUGAUGAAUUUCACACAUAUUAUAUUGUUAAGGCCAAUUCUUGAAUUAACUGAUAAAGUUGUGAGCUUAUUCAGAUGAAAGAGAAUACAUACCUAGGGCGAUGAUUUCAUCGACAGGAAUGAAAAUUGUCCCUACUGCGGUGAGCUCAUGGUAGGGUAUGAAAAUUAUCUCUAAGGCACUUAGCCCAUGGUAAGGAACAAAAAAAUAUAUCCCUAGGGCGAUUAGCCCAUGGUAGGGAACGAAAGAAUUAUCCCUAGGGCGCUUAGCCCAUGGUAAGGAAAUGAACAAUUAUCCCUAGGGCGAUUAACCCAUGGUAAAGAACAAAAAAAUUAUCCCUAGGGUGCUUAGCCCAUGGUAGGGAACGAAAGAAUUAUCCCUAGGGCGCUUAGCCCAUGGUAAGGAAUGAAAACAAUUAUCCCUAGGGCGCUUAGCCCAUGGUAAGGAAUGAAAACAAUUAUCCCUAGGGCGCUUAGCCCAUGGUAAGGAAUGAAAACAAUUAUCCCUAGGGCGCUUAGCCCAUGGUAAGGAAUGAAAACAAUUAUCCCUAGGGCGCUUAGCCCAUGGUAAGGAAUGAAAACAAUUAUCCCUAGGGCGCUUAGCCCAUGGUAAGGANUUAGGGACAAAGGUCCCAAUUUAUAAAUGGUGAAGGAUAAAGUUUGGGUUAUGCUUCUUGUGUCCUAAAUAAGAUACACUUAUAAGGUUUCAGAUAGUCUAAAGGUCACAACCCUAUGGAGAGGGUACUAAGUCUUGAUUAAAGUGGACACGGUAAGAACUUCAGACUUCUAGGUCACCAGAUCACAUCCAAUCUCGAAGGAAAGGAAACCAAAUAUCGCGGGCUAGAAAUGAGAAGGAUCGAGCCCUCCAAGCCGCUAACUCAUGAUACCGGAAACGAUCUAGGUGGUCCAUUCUGCCAAUUCCAGAUAUGACUCGAAGUCACUUACCGGCAAAGCAGAUGUCCCUUCUAUCUCAAAUCCUAAGCACUAAUACCCGGGUCAGGGCAUAUGUGUGUGUGUAAACUCAAGUGUACAACAUUAGUGUGUGAGGAAGCAUACAAACCCUUUCUUAAAAAUAAAUUAUCACCCCCAAAAACUACAAAAUAAUUAAACAGGGAGUUCACAGAUAAUAAAUAAAAAAAAAGUAAAGCAUAUAAUAAUUGUAAAAAAUACGGCAAACAAAAUAUGGGUAAUUAAGUCCAUGACUUCGCGGUUCUGGGCCUGACCCUCUUAUGGGUGUCCCCAGUGGAGUCGCCAGCUGUUGCGACCCGAUUUUCAGUUGGAAGACCGGCUCUAUGACUUAGGGAGAGGCGAACUCGGAUUCUACCUCUUCCGAUUGAUUUGGAGUCGCCACUACGUUUUUUGCGGUUAAAACCUAGAAAACUCUAAUAAGCCCAAUUAGAAAAAAAUGGUCUUUAGACAGAGAUUCUGAGCUCGGGAGUCGAUUGCGGAUCGGGGAAGGUAUUAGCACCCUGUCCGCCCGUAUUAAAACUGCACCCUCGCUAUUAACAUGGACAUUUAUACCCUUAUCAAUUAUUUAUUUAUAACUAUUUAUUUUUAUUAUUGAGUCUGACAAUAUUGACUUUGGUCAUUCGUACCCCUAUUAAGGGGAUCAAGGCUUAUGUAGUUCUAGUUGGAAAAUUGUUUAGCCACUUUGGUUAAUUGUUAAUGUUUUAGAAAAUAUCGAUUAAUUUAUUGAAUUGGUUAAUAUAUAAUUUUUUUGAUUUAAUGAGACUAAUAGUUUUAGAGACGGUGUAGAUCGUAGACCUUCUCCUCGUUUUAGGGGUAGUUAGAGACGACUCGAACCAUAACCUUACUAUAAAAAUCCCAAUUUAUUCGGUAGAAUAAUUUCUAAUUAUUCGUGCAUUUAGAAUUUGGAUGAUAAAAUAGUUUAUAUAUAUAGAAUUAAUAGUUUAGAGAUGGUGUUGGUUGUAGACCUUCUUCUCAUUUUCGGAGAAGUUAGAGACAACUCGAAUCAUAACUUUACUAUAAAAAUUCCAUGAUUAAGUUGAUAAUAUAGUUUCUAAUUAUUCGUACACAUAGAAUUUAGGUGAUAAAAUAGUUUAUUAAUUAUAUAUAUAGAAUUAAUAGUUUAGAUAUGGUGUUGGUUGUAGACCUUCUUUUCAUUCUCAGAGUAGUUAGAGACAACUCGAAUCAUAACCUUACUAUAAAAGUUCCAUAAAAUUUACUUGGUAGAAUAGUUUUCCAAUUAUUAUCACCUUAAACAAAUUUCUCUUAACUAGAUUUUUAUUGCUAAAUGUUAGUUUUAAAUCUUUUAUAAAAAUGAGUAUUGAUGAGAUUUAGAUUAAUACGCAUAUAUACUAAUAAAUAAUUAUAAGAUAUAACAUAUAGUAAAUAUUUCCAUUUAACUAAACCUUCCUACACUUAUAAGUGUUGGCACGAAUAAACCAAAGAAUAAAACAAGGCAACAAAUUGGAAAGGAAAGUCAUUAAGGGUAAUUUCCCUGAAGGUUUCAUGCAGAAACGUGAAUUGGAAAAAAAUGGGAUUGAAAUCCCUAAUCCCCAAACUUCUCCUCCUUCAAUGCCAGCGGCGGUAAAGGGCACCGUUCGUGGCUAGGACUAGGCGGGUGUGAUUCGCGAUAAUGGCAAAGGAGGGCGCAAUGGGGAAGCGAUAGUGAAUGACCUUCAUCCUCCAGCGGCGAUGAACAACAAUCACGACCAAGGGUGGUUCACGGUUGUAGCGCGGUGGUGUAUAUUUGCGAGUUCGCCUCCUCCCAAGACGUAGAGCCGGUCUUCCAACCGAAAAUCGGGUCGCGACAGCUGGUGGCUCCCCAGUGGAGUCGCCAGCUGUUGACCCGAUUUUCGGUUGGAAGACCGACUCUACGACUUGGGAGGCGAACUCGAUUUCUAUCUCUCCCGAUUGAUUUGGAGUUGCCACUAUGUUUUUUGCGGUUAAAACGUAGAAAACUCUAAUAAGCCCCAAUUAGAAUAAAAUGGUCUUUAGACAGAGAUUCUGAGCUCGGGAGUCGAUUGUGGAUCGGGGAAGGUAUUAGCACCCCGUCCGCCCGUAUUAAAACGGUACCCUCGCUAAUAUCAUGGACUUUUAUACCCUUAUAUUUAUUUUUAUUAUUGAGUCUGACAAUAUUGACUUUGGUCCUACGUACCCCUAUUAAGGGGAUCAAGGCUUACGUAGUUCUAGUUCGAAAAUUGUUUAGCCACUUUGGUUAAUUGUUAAUGUUUUAGAAAAUAUCGAUUAAUUUAUUGAAUUGGUUAAUAUAUAAUUUUUUUAUUUAAUGAGACUAAUAGUUUUAGAGACGGUGUAGGUCAUAGACCUUCUCCUCGUUUUCGGGGGAGUUAGAGACGACUCGAACCUUAACCUUACUAUAAAAAUGUCAAUUUAUUCGGUAGAAUAGUUUCUAAUUAUUCGUGCAUUUAGAAUUUGGAUGAUAAAAUAGUUUAUAGAUAUAGAAUUAAUAGUUUAGAGAUGUUGUUGGUUGUAGACCUUCUUCUCAUUUUCAGAUUUUCAGAGAAGUUAGAGACAACUUGAAUCAUAACCUUAGUAUAAAAAUUCCAUGAUUGAGUUGAUAAUAUAGUUUCUAAUUAUUCGUACACAUAGAAUUUAGGUGAUAAAAUAGUUUAUUAAUUAUAUAUAUAGAAUUAAUAGUUUAGAGACGGUGUUGGUUGUAGACCUUCUUCUCAUUCUCAGAGAAGUUAGAGACAACUCGAACCAUAACCUUACUAUAAAAGUUGCGUAAAAUUUACUUGGUAGAAUAGUUUUCCAAUUAUUAUCACCUUAAACAAUUUUCUCUUGACUAGAUUUUUAUUGCUAAAUGAUAGUUUUAAAUAUUUUAUAAAAAUGAGUAUUGAUGAGAUUUAGAUUAAUAUGCAUACAUACUAAUAAAUAAUUAUAAGAUAUAACAUAUAUUAAAUAUUUCUGUUUAACUAAACCUUCCUACACUUAUAAGUGUUGGCACGAAUAAACCAAAGAAUAAAACAAGGCAACAAAUUGGAAAGGAAAGUCAUUAAGGGUAAUUUCCCUGAUGGUUUCACGCAGAAACGUGAAUUGGAAAAAAUGGGAUUGAAAUCCCUAAUCCCCAAACUUCUCCUCCUUCAAUGGCAGUGGCGGUAAAGGGCACCGUUCGUGGCUAGGACCAGGCGGGUGUGAUUCGCGAUAAUGGCAAAGGAGGGCGCGACGGGGAAGUGACAGUGAAUGACCUUCAUCCUCCAGCGGCGAUGAACAACAAUCACGACCAAGGGUGGUUCAGGGUUGUAGCGCGGUGGUGUAUAUUUGCGAGUUCUUCUUCUCUUAAUCAUCACGGGUUUCAUUUUUCGGUUCGUAAAGUGCUUAACCCAAAGUACCUCUAAUUCGAAAUGGGUACAAAGGAUGGUGAGUUAUGGUUUUUUUGGUGUAACGAUGAUAGAGCCACUAAUGGCUGACUCUGAAUCGGGUAACUACUACUUCAUUAAUUUUUGUCAAUUCAUUGCCUUAAGUUGAUUAUCAGUUUUCUUGCUCUUCCAUGAACUCAUACAAUUUUGAUUGAUCUUUACAAAAUGUUAAUCCUGAGUCAUUGACCCAAAGUCAGCUAGAGAAUAUCAAAGAUAUACGCUGUAUCGACUGAACCGAGGCGUCUUCCAUUGGUGAUUAUUCGCAACCGAACAGAGGAGAGGUAAACAUUCUCCUUAUUUCUCAUGAAGCCUUACCGAUUGUAUGAGUUUUGUUAGUGUUCCAGAUUAGUAAUGAUAAAGGAAUAAUCUUUUUACUAUUGAAUUCUUGCCUAAUCCUUAGGUGAUGGUACUAAUUGAUGGAAACAUAUAGGCUAAAACAAAUUUCAAUCAUCCUUUUUACUUUCCAAUCCACACUAUAUGUAUACGUGUUUUUUGUGUUAUGAUCGAUUAUAAACAGUUAUGAAUUAAUCAUACAAGUCUAACGUAUAAGCCAUACAAAGUGUGGAGUGUUCAUAAAACAAAAUUUAUGGUUUGAGUGCUUACCUGAGUACGCUCUCCUUCCUGUGUUGUAGGUGUAUGUAGCCUGAUAUUUCUGUGUGCUGGUAUAGGCCUGGAUUUUCUGAUUGGUUACGAGCUUUGUACGUCACUCUGCUUCUAUGUAAUUCGGUUUAUUUUCUUUAUAUAGCUCUCUGAUUUAUUACGUGUAUGAUAUCUGUGUUGUAAUCUCUGCCUCUAUUGCGAUGUAAAUGUGUCUGUAAUCUUUGUUCUAUUUUUAUCACUGUUGCAAUGUCUCUCUGAUUUAUGUAUGCUGGUGUAUAUCUCGUUUCUGUUUUUUGUUUCUGGAUGCUUUACUACACUACCUCUUGGCUGAUUUCUCUUGUGGUUAUGUAUGUGUAGCUAUGUUGUGUGUCCCUGAAUGUGAUCUUAUCUACACGUUGCUUUUACUGAUUUCCUGUUGAGUUCCUGCUUUUGUUCUCUGAUUCCUGCCUUUUGUUCUCUGGUUCCUGCCUCUGUGUGUAUUUGGACUGAUUUGUAUCUGCUUGAUCUUUCCUAUUUUUGUGUUCUCUUUUCUCACGGAGUCCCAUUCUUGAUUUUUAUGAUGAUGUAUCUGUGACUAGUAGGUGCAUGUUUGUGAUAUCUCUCUUUUUCGUUUCUCUCUCCUUUUGUGUGUAUCUCUUAUAUCCCUUCUUUUUUUGUCCUUUUUUGCUUUUUUUAUUGGCUAUUUUUGAACACCCUCAAAUGACAGUCGUAAGUGCAUAAAAGCAUGAUUCACCCUCGAAGUUUGAAGGCGAGGAUUCAAGAUCUUGCUUCUGCUUGGUAGAGGGAUUUUGGAUUAAUCAAUGAUGAGCAACUUUAGUCUUGCCCAAGUUAUAGGUUUCUUGGUACUUUCAUUCGAGAAAUGGGGUCAGCCCCCAUAAACUGCCCCAGUUUGGAUUGAUGUCGUUCGUUUGAUUUCAACUUCUCAUGUGUUUUCUUCAUGCACAACUCCUUAAAAAUAAAUACUAAAAACAGUGAUCAAGCAAAUUUGGAUUAUUUUUUUUGGGUUUUGAGUGUUGAUAUGGUGGUGGUGAUGAUGAAAGAUUGAGAUUUAAUCCGAUGCAUUAAAGAUGAGAUAUUUUCAUCAAAACUUUAUGAUAUUUAUUGGAGUCAGCAUUUCUUUGCCCUAGUACAUUUCUUAGGCAAAUCAUAUUCUCGACAAGGUCUUUUGAGCUUGUAUCGUAGCCUGGCUAGGGAUUUCAAAGAAAAAGGAUAAGGCUCGAAAAUGUCUUUCCCAAACCCCUUUCUACAUUCUCCUUUCUCCAUUGUCCUAUUUCAACAGUUUUCUUGACAUGACAUUCCAAUACUAAGAUUUUGUUGGAUUUUUGUGAUGUAGUAGGUGAAUGCCUAAUAUUUAGGCGAUAAUCUUCCCGAGAGGUAUUUGAAUUGUUCCUUUUUGUGGUCAUUGAUAGUGCACUUUAUUUUCCGUAACUUUUGCCUGAGAUUUUUAUUGAGGAUUCUCUGCGGGCC